GACGAACGCUGGCGGCGUGCUUAACACAUGCAAGUCGAACGAAGUGGCGAACGGGUGAGUAACGCGUAAUCAACCUGCCCUUCAGAGGGGGACAACAGUGGGAAACGACUGCUAAUACCGAAAACGGAAGGAGGGGAUUGCGGCUGAUUAGCUAGUUGGUGGGGUAACGGCCCACCAAGGCGAUGAGCAGUAGCCGGUCUGGGAGGAUGAACAGCCACAUUGGGACUGAGAACCGGCCCAGACCUCCACGGGAGGCAGCAGUGGGGAAUUUUCCGCAAUGGACGACAGGCUUACGAAGCAACGCCGCGUGAGUGAUGACGGCCUUCGGGUUGUAAAGCUCUGUUAAUCGGGACGCGGUACCGGAAUAGAAAGCCACGGCUAACUACGUGCCAGCAGCCGCGGUAAUUC
rnacentral:rRNA from 1 species